rnacentral:rRNA from 1 species
AUUGAACGCUGGCGGCAUGCCUUACACAUGCAAGUCGAACGGCAGCGGGGGAGAAGCUUGCUUUUCCUGCCGGCGAGUGGCGAACGGGUGAGUAAUACAUCGGAACGUGCCCUGUAGUGGGGGAUAACUAGUCGAAAGAUUAGCUAAUACCGCAUACGACCUGAGGGUGAAAGUGGGGGACCGCAAGGCCCCAUGCUAUAGGAGCAGCCGAUGUCUGAUUAGCUAGUUGGUGGGGUAAAGGCCUACCAAGGCGACGAUCAGUAGCUGGUCUGAGAGGACGAUCAGCCACACUGGGACUGAGGCACGGCCCAGACUCCUACGGGAGGCAGCAGUGGGGAAUUUUGGACAAUGGGCGAAAGCCUGAUCCAGCAAUGCCGCGUGUGUGAAGAAGGCCUUCGGGUUGUAAAGCACUUUUGUCCGGAAAGAAAUGGCUCUGGUUAAUACCUGGGGUCGAUGACGGUACCGGAAGAAUAAGGACCGGCUAACUACGUGCCAGCAGCCGCCGUAA